rnacentral:rRNA from 1 species
UACAGAGGUCCCAAGCGUUGUUCGGAUUCACUGGGCGUAAAGGGUGCGUAGGUGGCGGGUUAAGUCGGAUGUGAAAUCUCGGAGCUCAACUCCGAAAUGGCAUUGGAAACUACCCUGCUAGAGGGUCGGAGGGGGGACUGGAAUACUUGGUGUAGCAGUGAAAUGCGUAGAUAUCAAGUGGAACACCAGUGGCGAAGGCGGCUACCUGGACCGAUAUUGACGCUGAGACGCGAAAGCGUGGGGAGCAAACAGG